rnacentral:rRNA from 1 species
UACGGGGGGGGCAAGCGUUGUUCGGAAUUACUGGGCGUAAAGGGCUCGUAGGCGGCCAACUAAGUCGGACGUGAAAUCCCUCGGCUUAACCGGGGAACUGCAUCCGAUACUGGAAGGCUUGAAUCCGGGAGAGGGAUGCGGAAUUCCAGGUGUAGCGGUGAAAUGCGUAGAUAUCUGGAGGAACACCGGUGGCGAAGGCGGCAUCCUGGACCGGCAUUGACGCUGAGGAGCGAAAGCCAGGGGAGCAAACGGG